UACGUAGGCAGCAAGCGUUGUUCGGAGUUACUGGGCGUAAAGAGUGCGUAGGUGGUGCCCUAAGUCUGUUGUGAAAUCUCCCGGCUUAACUGGGAGGGUGCGGUGGAAACUGGGGUGCUUGAGUGUGGGAGAGGUAAGCGGAAUUCCUGGUGUAGCGGUGAAAUGCGUAGAUAUCAGGAGGAACACCGGUGGUGUAGACGGCUUACUGGACCACGACUGACACUGAGGCACGAAAGCGUGGGUAG
rnacentral:rRNA from 1 species